CCCUCUGAAUGAGGCCAGGGAUGGAACCCACAUCCUCAUGGAUACUGGUCAGGUUUGUAACCUACUGAGCCACAACGGGAACCUCCCAUAUGUGCACCUCUUGAUACCUGCAAUUCUGAUCGCAAUUUGCUUCCUUCUCAUUUUGAAAUGACUGAGUGGGAAUCCUGCAGCAGAAUGCUUUUCUUCCCAGGUUUAUCAGGCACAAUACAUGUUAUUCCUGCUCCAUCAUGAUACUUAUUCUGAUGAUUUUCAGUCAAAACUGAGGAUGUCUGGAGUUCCCUGGGGGCCUAGCAGUUAAGGAUUCAGCCUUGUCACUGCUGUGGCUUGGGUUCAAUCCCUGGUCCACAAACUUUUGCAUGCUGAGGGUGCGGUCCAAAAAAAAAAAAAAUUGAUGUCCAUUAAACCACAAUUUUCUUCUAUAAUUGGUCAUCACGGAUUGUGCUUUUUAUGCAGCAACAUACCACUUGUUCCAACCAUUCCUCUCUCACCAUGCUGAGAAAUCCAUCAUGAGCUGAACAGGUGGGGCCCAAGGAAAGUUUCCGUUUACCCUUUCGUUUGAGGAUCCUGUUUCAAAUGCUGGAUGAAUCUCGGUGAAACUCUCACUUUAAAAUGACGGAUUACCCAUGAAAAGAGUGAACAGAGAAAAAAAAAAAAAAAGCCACGAAAGGGUGAGUGAAUUCUGAGAUCUCAACAGAUUUUUCUGUUCUCUUCCAUCAUGUCAUGAGAAAUCUCUCAUUUCGAAAUGGCAAAGGAUAUUGAACUCUCUCGAAACAGAAACUUGGACGCCCUUAUAUCUGGGAUAAAGCUGCCAGGAAAUUAAACUAGAAUCAACAUUUGACAGGUGAUGCUAAAGAUUAUACUAGCUUUAGGCCCCACAAAGCAUGGAUCCGCCCCUGUCUACCAGCAGAGCAGAUGGGGGAAAGCUACUAUGGAUGGGAAAAAUCGAGGGACAGAGAACAAGAGUCUUAUUUCAGACCACAUUCAUCACAAAGAUUCUUCCAGCCAGCAGACUCUGCUCUAUGAAAGAAGCUGCUCACAUCCCAACCAUGACUCAGGUCCCUGAAGCCACGAGCCCAAGGAAUGAUCGGUCUUAAUGAAAGUGAUUGCCCGUUAAUCUCCCUUCCCAGGGGACUGAGCCAGAGAGGAGAUAGCAAAGGCUCAUUCAGGACCUCCUAUUUUAUAUGCUUUAUCUCAUUUCAUAAUAGAUGCUCACCCUUCUCUUGUUUUUUUUUUUUUUGUUUGUUUGUUUUUUUUUGUCUUUUUUUCUAGGGCCC